rnacentral:rRNA from 1 species
AACGAACGCUGGCGGCAGGCCUAACACAUGCAAGUCGAGCGGCCGUAGCAAUACGGCAGCGGCAGACGGGAGAGUAACACGUGGAAACGUGCCCAUCAGUUCGGAACAACCCAGGGAAACUUGGGCUAAUACCGGAUACGCCCUUACGGGGAAAGAUUUAUCGCUGAUGGAGCGGCCCGCGUCUGAUUAGCUAGUUGGUGAGGUAACGGCUCACCAAGGCGACGAUCAGUAGCUGGUCUGAGAGGAUGAUCAGCCUCACUGGGACUGAGACACGGCCCAGACUCCUACGGGAGGCAGCAGUGGGGAAUAUUGGACAAUGGGCGCAAGCCUGAUCCAGCCAUGCCGCGUGGAUGAUGAAGGCCCUAGGGUUGUAAAGUCCUUUCGGCGGGGAAGAUAAUGACGGUACCCGCAGAAGAAGCCCCGGCUAACUUCGUGCCAGCCGCCGCAGUAAUAC